GCCGAGAUAGCUCAGUUGGGAGAGCGUCAGACUGAAGAUCUGAAGGUCCCUGGUUCAAUCCGGAGAGUUCGUAUGAGCUCUGAAUAAUCCCGGGUCUCGGCA